rnacentral:rRNA from 1 species
AGGAAAAAUAAGACAAGCCGACCCAGCAGUUCAGCCAGCCGUCGCACGCACAGGGUGAGAGAGUGAGACGCCGCCGGUUGCUUCGCACGGCUGCGUCGCCGCCGCCGCCGCCGCCGGCGACCAGGAGGCAGGACGCCCUACCACAUAGCUACCGGCUACUGCGAGCCGGCUGUUUGAUGAAAUGUCAGAGCUAGCUUCAAUCCCCUGCAGUUCCAAGAGGGCGCGAGGCACUAGUGAUGGUGUCGACAGGCUCAGCAGCCUUCCAGACGAGCUGCUACAUUGCGUGAUGUCCUUCCUGCCGAUGCCGGAGGCCGGGCGCACAAGUCUGCUCUCGCCGAGGUGGCUUAAUCUCUGGGCCUCUACGCCAUACAUCCGCAUCGACCACCAGGACUUUAUGGAUGACGGCAAGCUGAAGAAAUUCGGGGACCGCCUGCUGCUCAUGCGCGACAGAACUACUUCCUUGGAUAAAGCCUGGAUCUCUGUGCACCAUGUUGCUGAUAGGACCAUGUGUUAUGAGUGGAUUCGUCAUGCCAUCAUGCACAAUGUCUCGUUCGAGAGGAGUUUGAGGACAUGCCCGAUGUUCAGCAACCUGACAAGCCUGGUGCUGGGCGAGUGGUGCAUGGCUGCUGACUUCUACCCGCUGCUUCGCAUCCUCCAGCGCUCGUGCAAGCUGAAGGAGCUAAAACUUAAGCUCACAAAGGAGGAAUUUAGUACGUGCAAGGAUUCUGAACCUGCUCUGUCGUCAACAAGGGGAGCACUGCCGUCGGGCUCAGGCAGCCACCCUUGCAUCGAGAGGGUCAAAAUCUGCUGCCAUGAACAUGAUCCAAGGGUUAGCUCGUUGGUGCAGGCGUUGCAGCUGAUUGUCGGUGAUGUGAAAAUCAGCAUCGAGCAUCGCUGAUCUAUGGUAAACUAGACCUUGUUUUGUUUGGGGGACCUGCAACCGUUGGUCAGUGCCGAAUUAAUGUGUGGAGACAAGAUUGCUUUGGAGACGCUGGCGUUAACGACACAAGGGCAUGUUUUAGACAAUGGGUGUGGAUGUGUGGUCGAAUUUUGCUAUAAUCCACAUGUGAUGGUUAAUCUGACUAGUGUCAUUUGCAUGAUGGAUUAUGAGCUAGUUCUUUGAAAACGCUAUGUAAUGUGAGUUCUGAAAUCAUGUUUUAGAUGAUGGGUAUGAUCAAAUUUCGCUAUCCACAUGUGAUGAUUGAUCCGAGCUAGUUCAUCGUCAUAGACUAGUUGAGUGUCAUUUGUGG